UACGUAGGGGGCUAGCGUUGUCCGGAUUUAUUGGGCGUAAAGAGCGUGUAGGCGGCCAGGUAGGUCUGCUGUGAAAACUCGAGGCUCAACCUCGAGACGUCGGCGGAAACCAUCUGGCUAGAGUCCGGAAGAGGAGAGUGGAAUUCCUGGUGUAGCGGUGAAAUGCGCAGAUAUCAGGAAGAACACCAGUGGCGAAGGCGGCUCGCUGGACCGGCAUUGACGCUGAGACGCGAAAGCGUGGGGAGCGAACAGG
rnacentral:rRNA from 1 species